rnacentral:rRNA from 1 species
UACGUAGGGUGCAAGCGUUUAAUCGGAAUUACUGGGCGUAAAGCGUGCGCAGGCGGUUUUGUAAGUCUGUCGUGAAAUCCCCGGGCUCAACCUGGGAAUUGCGAUGGAGACUGCAAGGCUAGAAUCUGGCAGAGGGGGGUAGAAUUCCACGUGUGAGCAGUGAAAUGCGUAGAGAUGUGGAGGAACACCGAUGGCGAAGGCAGCCCCCUGGGUCAAGAUUGACGCUCAUGCACGAAAGCGUGGGGAGCAAACGAGGAUUAGAGUAC